GUUCUGGUGCACUAGUGGUAAAAGCAUCCGCCUCAGAUGCGGGAGGUCACGGGUGCAAUCCCCGGCUGAAUCA